GCACUGCUGAGGAGUCCCACAAUAGGAUGAAACGAUCGUCCAGUGC
rfam:Schistosoma mansoni strain Puerto Rico chromosome 6, complete genome